UUGAGUGCGGGGUGUUGUCGCGGUUCAACCUCACCGUGACAUCAAUUAAUAAAGGGUUUGACUUCAAGGUUUGGUUGAGUCGCGCCAAUAUCCCGUGUCCUGAA
rnacentral:pre_miRNA from 1 species